GCUGGGCGUGGUGGUGCAUGCCUGUAAUCCCAGCUACUCGGGAGGCUGAGACAGGAGAAUUGCUUGAACCCAGGAGGCGGAGGUUGCAGUGAGCUGAGAUCAUGCCACUGCACUCCAACCUGGGUGACAGAGUGAGACUCCGUCUCGG
rnacentral:SRP_RNA from 1 species